AACUUUGAAACACCGGUUUCUGUACGAUCAGUGAAGUUAAGCAAUGGCAAUCCUGAUCAGUACCUUGAUGGGUGACCUCUUGAGAAUACCAUGUGAUG